GUGUAGCAGAACAUCUCCGGGCAUCUAUUUACCAUGACGACCUACAGUAAAAUGAGACAACUCGUCAUGGAUUUCAAUAUUUAUUGGUAUGAGGACGGCGACAUUUUCCUUGGAUUUGAUGAUCCUGGGUAACGUCCCGCAUGCCGCACACAUCAUCACCCGAUUGGGACCAGGAAUCGCCAGCGUUGGCUGGCUGUUCGACAUCGGACCAGUGAUCGCCAGUCAUUUCGUCGUCGGUGGUGGCAGGUAGUUCUCCGGAACCCAAGUCCUUCUACGACUUCCAGAAGGUUGCAACAGCCGGUCCAACGUGUCCGAAGGAUCAUCGUCG